rnacentral:rRNA from 1 species
CAGCCGCCACGGUAAAACGGAGGGUGCAAGCGUUAAUCGGAAUUACUGGGCGUAAAGCGCACGCAGGCGGUUUGUUAAGUCAGAUGUGAAAUCCCCGAGCUUAACUUGGGAACUGCAUUUGAAACUGGCAAGCUAGAGUCUUGUAGAGGGGGGUAGAAUUCCAGGUGUAGCGGUGAAAUGCGUAGAGAUCUGGAGGAAUACCGGUGGCGAAGGCGGCCCCCUGGACAAAGACUGACGCUCAGGUGCGAAAGCGUGGGGAGCAAACAGGAUUAGAUACCCCGGUAGUCCCUGUCUAUUAUAC